UUAUGUUUUUUUAAUAAUAUUUUUUAUAAGUUAUUUAGUUGAGUAUUAUAAUUUUUCAUGCACUAUAUUCAACUUAGCCAUGAUUUUUAUUUAUAAUCUAUACUAUACUAAAAGGAGGAUAUAAGCUCCUUUUAGAGUCUCCACAUAGGCACAAAAAAUCGACCAAUCAGAGAGCUCGAAGUUGCAACGUCAUAUCAUUUAUUUUUUCGUAAAAAGUUGCAACGUCAUAUCAUUUAUUUUUUCGUAAAAAUAAAAAAAACAAUGCAAAGGAGAGGAUCG
rnacentral:lncRNA from 1 species